rnacentral:lncRNA from 1 species
AGCUGAAGAGUCCGGAAAGUUCACAAAAAAUUAAAAUUAAAUUAACCUUAAUGUAUUUAAGUUCAUGCUGCAUACUAUUAUUGUUUUCUGAUGUUAACACCCACACCAACACACACCCACCCACACACACUUGGAAAUUUUAGAAAUUUUGGUUAAAUUUGUAUCUAAGUUCAAUGAGCUCAUUGUCGAAAUGGAUAGCCGGCAAUACUUCUGUUGUUCCCUAUUUAUUUAUUUUCGAAUUGGAUUUCUGGAUUCGCUAUUGCAUCUGUUGUUCCCUAAAUUCUUUCAGUUCAAUGUCUAAAUUGAUUGAUCAAGGAAGCAAAAUCUCUUGAGAUAGAGCACUAGCUUCAGUACUCUAUACUUCUGUUCUUAUAUGGUGUAGAUUCUCUACUUUUUGGUAUACCUUUAGUAUAUGGGAGAUUUUCACGUUACUAAAAUUACUUACCUUCUCAAAAUAUAUUAUUAUAUGGACUUCUUUGUUUAUCAGGUUAUGAGGAUCUGGUUCAGCUGAGAGAGAAUGAAAACUCAGAAAGGAAUGAGACUGCAGCUAUACUUGGUGGUGGAAAAGGUAAGACGUGUUGUAACUUUUUUAUUUUUAUGUUGGUGGCGGGAAAGAAGAUAAGAUUGUGCUUGGUGAUUUUUGGAGCAUACUUUUAAUAUUCAGAUCACAUGAUGACCAAAGCAAAAUACCAGAAGUCUUGAGUGGAGGAUAAGGUCCAGAUCCAUCGGCAAAUUUUCCACCAACUUUGGCAGGGAAAUGAGUAGCUUUUGAGCUAACUUUCUUGAUCUUUAUUAAGGUACUUUCUUUUGACACAAAAACAAGAGCCAAAAAGAAAAGUUACUAAUAGAAUAUUAUUAUUAUUUUUAUUUUAUUUUUUCUAUUUCAAAAAAAAUAUUCUAUUAGUAACUUUUCUUUUUGGCUCUCGUUUUUGUGUCAAAAGAAAGUACCUUAAUAAAGAUCAAGAAAGUUAGCUCAAAAGCUACUCAUUUCCCUGCCAAAGUUGGUGGAAAAUUUGCCGAUGGAUCUGGACCUUAUCCUCCACUCAAGACUUCUGGUAUUUUGCUUUGGCCAUCAUGUGAUCUGAUGUUUGUUCUUUUUUUCUUUUUUUUUGCUUUCUUCAUGACUUAAGUUGAAAUUCUUUUGAAAGUAAAGCAAUGGGGGAUUUUAAGUCACAUCCUCAAAGUUUAACAUAACAAUGUUAAUAUUAAUUAAACAAUGGUAAAAAUGUAAGCCAGUAGUAUAAAACGUUUUUCUUUUAAUUAUCUUGACAAAUCUUAAACGAGUAGCACUUUUGUACAUCUUAAUCACAAACUUCUUCCCUUUUCUCAAGACGCUGAAUUUGAUGUCUUAACGGAUACACUCUAGCAUAAAACAGAGGAGUUCUCUUUUUAUAAUUCAGAUUCUUUCCUCUGGGUGAAUAAUUGCAGCUGAAAGUCCGGAAAGCUGCUAAUGACCCACAAAAAAUUAAAAUUAAAAUAACCUUAAUCUAUUUAAGUUCAUUCUGCAUACUAUUGUUGUUUUCUGAUGUUAACACCCACACACAAACACUUAGAAAUUUUAGAAAAUUUGGUUAAAUUUGUAAAUCAAUGAGCUCACUGUCAAAAUGGAUAGGCGGCAAUACUUCUGUUGUUCCCUAAUUUUUUUUAAUUUUUUUUGUGUAUUCAAUUUCUGGAUUCUCUCUUGCAUCUGUUGCUCCCUAAAUUCUUUCAAUUCAAUGUCUAAAUUGAUUGAUCAAGGCAGAAAAAUCUCUUGAGAUAGAGUAAUUAGCUUCAGUACUCUGUACUUCUGUUCUUAUAUGGUGUAGAUUCUCUACUUUUUGCUAUACCUCUUGUAUAUGGGAGAUUUUCACGUUACUAAAAUUAUUUAC